rnacentral:rRNA from 1 species
UACGUAGGGUGCAAGCGUUGUCCGGAAUUAUUGGGCGUAAAGAGCUCGUAGGCGGCUUGUUGCGUCUGCCGUGAAAAAUUUCACAGCUCAACUGUGGACGUGCGGUGGAUACGGGCAGGCUUGAGUUCGGUAGGGGAGACUGGAAUUCCUGGUGUAGCGGUGAAAAUGCGCAGAUAUCAGGAGGAACACCGGGUGGGCGAAAGGGCGGGGUCUC